AUAUUGCACAAUGGAGGAAACUCUGAUGCAGCGACGCCGCGUGAGGGAAGAAGGUUUUCGGAUUGUAAACCUCUGUCUUCGGUGACGAAAAUGACGGUAGCCGAGGAGGAAGCCACGGCUAACUACGUGCCAGCAGCCGCGGUAAUACGUAGGUGGCAAGCGUUGUCCGGAAUUACUGGGUGUAAAGGGAGCGUAGGCGGGGAGACAAGUUGAAUGUUUAAACUAUCGGCUCAACUGAUAGUCGCGUUCAAAACUAUCACUCUUGAGUGCAGUAGAGGUAGGCGGAAUUCCUAGUGUAGCGGUGAAAUGCGUAGAUAUUAGGAGGAACACCAGUGGCGAAGGCGGCCUACUGGGCUGUAACUGACGCUGAGGCUCGAAAGCGUGGGUAGCAAACA
rnacentral:rRNA from 1 species